AACGAACGCUGGCGGCAUGCCUAACACAUGCAAGUCGAACGAAGCCUUCGGGCUUAGUGGCGCACGGGUGCGUAACACGUGGGAAUCUGCCCUUUGGUUCGGAAUAACAGUUAGAAAUGACUGCUAAUACCGGAUAAUGACGUAAGUCCAAAGAUUUAUCGCCGAAGGAUGAGCCCGCGUAGGAUUAGGUAGUUGGUGGGGUAAUGGCCCACCAAGCCGACGAUCCUUAGCUGGUCUGAGAGGAUGAUCAGCCACACUGGGACUGAGACACGGCCCAGACUCCUACGGGAGGCAGCAGUGGGGAAUAUUGGACAAUGGGCGAAAGCCUGAUCCAGCAAUGCCGCGUGAGUGAUGAAGGCCUUAGGGUUGUAAAGCUCUUUUACCAGGGAUGAUAAUGACAGUAACCUGGAGAAUAAGCUCCGGCUAACUCCGUG
rnacentral:rRNA from 1 species